UGUGGAUGGUGUGAGGUAGUGAUCUCAGCUGGUCUUGAACCGCAAACUGGCUCCUGGCUGCAGCGCCAGCCUCAGUUCAGAUCUUCUGUUGUUAGCGAGUGGCUUGCGCAUGCGUGGUUCAGUCCGUCAGAAAGGUUAAGGAGAUGUAACCACCAGCCAUCCUGAAACUGACCAAAUGAGGCACUCAAGGGAGAUGUAACCACCAGCCAUCCUGAAACUGACCAAAUGAGGCACU